rnacentral:rRNA from 1 species
CCCUUAGAUGUCCUGGGCUGCACGCGCGCUACACUGAUGUGUCCAGUAAGCACCUAACCUCUUCCGAAAGGAACGGGUAACCUUUGCAAAGCACAUCGUGAUGGGGAUAGAUUAUUGCAAUUAUUAGUCUUAACGAGGAAUUCCUAGUAAGCACAAGUCAUCAGCUUGUGUUGAUUACGUCCCUGCCCUUUGUACACACCGCCCGUCGCUCCUACCGAUUGAAUGUUCCGGUGAGCUCUUCGGACUGCGCGGUCUGCAGUUUCUGCGUUCCGUGCGGAAAGUUGCGCAAACCUUAACAUUUAGAGGAAGGAGAAGUCGUAACA